AUUUCUUUCUUUUCAUUUCAGUCUCUCCAGCCCACUGGAGGUGGAUCGUGGUGUCUGUGGGUUUAGCAGCACUCAUCACAUCUGUUGUGGCGGUCAACAUCUGGAUAAGAACUAAAGAGAAGGAAACCCAGACGGAUGAACUCGCUGUGCGUUAUGAUGUCGAUGAUGACACAGUGAACUAUGAAAACAUCAGACCUGCUGAGGGAGUUUGACCAACACUUCUGCCUCCAUCACACUCCACCGAUCAACAAAGAAAGUAAACGUUUCUCACCAGCAGUCAGUUCAGAACUCAGCAGCUGGAUUUUAACUUCAUUUAUCAAUGAAUAAGAAUUUAACUCUUGCUAACUUCAUUAAAUCGUCUUCCAGCUGCAGAUUUCAGAGCUGAUUUUAACAUUUACUGCUUGUUGUUGAAGCUGCAGCAGCUUGAGCUCAGUGUAAUUUCUCUGUGUGCAGAAAAAAACAUUUAAUACAUGUUUGUAAACAAAAAAAAAAUAGCGUGUUAAAAGUCAUAAAUGUCAUUUUCCAGACAUUUACUUUAUUAUUUUCUUGAUUUUUUUUCUUCUCAACAUUCAGUGCAAAUGCCAUGAAAGUGCCAAUUAUUUUUAUUACAAAUAUUAACAAUAAAAUGGCAGUGGAAAUCUGUAAAAUAAUUUAUUUUGCAGUAUUUAAUCAUCUAAUAUCUUAAU